UGUUUAACGGCCGCGGUAUUUUAACCGCGCGAAGGUAGCGUAAUCACUUGUCUUUUAAAUGGAGACCUGUAUGAAUGGCAUAACGAGGGUUUGACUGUCUCCUCCUCCCAGUCAAUGAAAUUGAUCUGCCCGUGCAGAAGCGGGCAUGUCCCCAUAAGACGAGAAGACCCUAUGGAGCUUUAGGCAAACGACUAAGCACAAAAAGCUCUACCCCUAUAUGACGGGCGAGAAAGCAAACCCCUUUAGUUAAUCUGCCUUCGGUUGGGGCGACCACGGAGGAAAAAAGAGCCUCCAAGCAGAACGGGAAACCCUUCAACUAAGAGGAACAACUCUAAGUACCAGAAAUUCUGACUAACCAUGACCCAGGAUAAACCUGAUCAACGAACCAAGUUACCCUAGGGAUAACAGCGCAAUCCUCUCCCAGAGUCCAUAUCGACGAGGGGGUUUACGACCUCGAUGUUGGAUCAGGACAUCCUAAUGGUGCAGCCGCUAUUAAGGGUUCGUUUGUUCAACGAUUAA
rnacentral:rRNA from 1 species